rnacentral:lncRNA from 1 species
AGAUCUGAAGGACUGGGGUUUCUGACCACACAGCAGUGCUGCUGACACAGAGGACAGUUUCUCUACCAGGUAAACGUGUUUCUCGUCCCUUUGCUCGCUGGAAGUGUUUGGGACCUGGCUGGGGCUCUGCUGCUGGGUGCUGUGGGUUUUGUCUAGAAGGGGCUAAGCACCUGUCUUCUCAGCCCUCUAACAGAGACCAGCAGCCACCUGGGGUGGCUGGGGGUGUGGGGGGUGUGGUGGGGGGAAAUAUGGGGGGGGAGUUUUUUGGCUUAGUUCUUGCCAAGUUCUCUGCAUUUAUCAUCCCCCACCCCAAAACCUGAGUUACUUUUCCCCAUCUUUAAAGCCAAGCCAUGUUUUGAUACCUGUCAGUUGGACUAUUUUAGGAAGGCUAUUUACUCUCAUUUGGUCAACUUUAAGAUGUUUUCGGGAAAGAGCGUAUUGAUCAUUUAGACUGUGCUGCUAGUAAUUCUAAUGGAGGUGGUUUAAUUUUAGCUUCUGUGGUUGUUUUUCCUUUUUUUUUUAAAUCUUCCUUAGAGUCAGUUGGUGGAUAUGUUAACAUCUUAGGUCGUAUGUUACCAAGGGUGGCCUGGCAGUGUGAGUGAUUUUUGACAAUGAGGUUUUUAAUGCCCAUGUUUUCUGACUACACAAAAUAUGAGAGGUCUUCUCCAUUCAGUCUCCAAAAAACAAGAGCAAUUGUGUUGCUGGCUUCUGCUACUUCUUGUAGGGCUGUCUGGAUUAUUUGUUAAGGCUGAAGGCCAUGCAAAUGAAUGUCUCUACAUUUUGGAGGAAAGGUCCUGUCUACACAGGGAAUUCUUUUAAGCGACUGAAGCAUAUAGCCUCGAAGUAUUGUACCAUCUCUCAGCUUGUAUUCAUUUAGAACUGUCAGUCAAGCCCAGGACUGAUGUUACAUAUACACUGUCCUGCACACAUGGUGAAAACCUGUGUUUCUAACUGUUGGAAACCACUCUAGCAGGACAACUUAAAACCAAAAUCAGAAGCAAGACAAACAAACAAACAAACAACAACAACAACAAAAAACCAAAACAAGAAAAAGAAAAAAAAACUUGUCAACACACACCUUGAGGUCAAAUUUACCAAGAAUUUACUGUAAUUGGCUUCUAUUAAAUGAACUUUUUAAAAAAGGAUGUCUGCAUAGCUAAAUUUAAAUGGAAUUCACCACUUUUUUCUAUGAAGAGUGAAUUUCUGGAAGUUUUGGUGUCUGGCCAUUAAUCUUUCUUUACUUGCAGUACUCAUCUGCCUGGCUGGUUUCAAGGCAAAAAGUAAAACUAACCCAAAAAACAGUGGGGUCUCCGGAGGAGAGGCUUAAGGUCCAGAAAAUACUAGGGGGAAAAAAAACGUACUCCAAAGAUUUUCAUCAGAGAUAGUAAUAAGAAUGUAAUUUAAAAAAAAAUGCUGUGAAGGCUUGUCAACAUUUCCCCCUUACAUUUGGGAAGGAAUAACACUGAAUAUGGCAGAGUUAGUGCCAACCACGUUUGGCUUGCUGAAGCAUCCACCUGCCAUGCCUGCCUACAGAGCACAGCGUCUUACUCAUGGUAGCAGCACGAGGGAGGGAGGGCUCUUCCGGACCUCAGGUUCUACGGUGGCAGUUUGCAGUGGUCUCUGAUGACAUUUCGUUAGCAGUCCCUGUCUGGCAGGAGUGUUUUAAACUUCGUCUCCUUUGUAUGUUGUACCUUGCAACAGUCAGGACUGUUAGAUUAAAAAGGAUCCCAGUGUUUUAACCUGAUUGAUACUUCUACCUCAGAACCGUUUGGAGAAGGGUGGCCCGCGCGUGUGUUUAAACUAGAACAGGAAGGGGACCUGUGCAGGGCCUCAGAGAUGCGCAUGCUCAGGCCGCUCAAAUGUAGAACCCUGUACUGUAUCGACCUGGGGGGCGGAGGGGGGGGGCGGAGUGGUAAGAAGGAAAAUGUUAGUGUGUAUUCUGGCUGUGCACGUCCAACUCUUUUUUUUUAGAAUGUUUCAUCUGAACUUAAUCGAGUUUGUGGAUAUGGAAUGUGUAAAGCUGGAGAGCCGACUGCCACCAAUGCGGUUACUUUUAAGUGCUUAGUUUGUGUAACCACAUGACUUCCUGGAAUCCUCUCCAGUGCCUUGAGCUAUCGGGAGUGAGCUGAAGUUACCUAAGGUCCAAGGGCACAAGGGUCAGGGUGGGGCAGGAGUUGGUCUGGAUUUCGGGUGCCCCGGGACUGUGCUGGCUGCAGGGUCCGCCUUCCGUGGAGCAUGCUGGGAGAAGCUAUCAUCCUGGAGACACAUCGAAAAGCCUAAUGUGUGUGUGUGUGUGUGUGUGUGUGUGUGUGUGUGAAGGAGAAGAGAGAGAGCAGAGACAGAGAGAGUGUGUGUGUACAGGUGUUCAAGACAGAGAAAGGAAAAAAAUCGCCAGACACCCCAAAGGAGUUUGAUAUUCAUAAAUAGGUUCCUUGGCACAUUUCAUGUAACGGUGGGAUGAUUCAUUAACAGUUUUGCUAAGAAUUUUUGGUGCCUUCACGCAUUUGCCUCAGCCCACUUCCUCAGCCUUCUUUCAUGCCACUUCCUUCUUGUUGAACCUCUCCCCUCCCCCUCCCACGUCUUACCAACCCACGUUCUGGUUCUGGGCGCCGCGCUAGACCGCAAGCCACCAGAAAGUUCCAUGCUGUUUCACUCUUUCUCGCUGUUUCUUCAAUGAUCUUCCCCCUGAAUUGUCUGACUUUUCAAGGGCCUCUUGGAAAGGCAGGUCCUCAGCUUGCUUCCUCCACUGACUGAAGUUUGCCUAAGGCUUUGCCUUCAGGUCAGCGUUGCAUCUUCUUAAUAUUUUCCCCCCUGUCCUGUCGCACAUAUAGAGCGGAGUUCCCUCUCUCCGCCGGCGCACAGGGCUGCUGAAGAUAUUGACUGGAAUGAAUAGUUGUCACUUUUUUUUUUUUUUUUAAUGAAUUCGUUACAUAACAGGAAGGCCUCCGAUUUCACUUCCUACUUUCAUGCUCCCUGAGUCCUUGUGGCGACUGCUCUGAGGGGACACGUGGCAGUCAUUGUCCUCAGAGCUUGCUCCCCUCCUUUUCCAAGGCUCCAGUCUUCAUUUGAGCCUCACAGCGCCAAAUGGACAACGGCUUCGGGAAAUAUAAGAAAUGAUACGGUAACUGUAGACUUCAGAAAUAAAUGACACCAGUCCAUCAUUGUAUUUUAAAUGCAGUUACAGGCAUACUACCCAGCAAUCCUUACAUAAGCUGAAUUCCCCAGAUAGGCCUUUGUUUAUGAAGUGAACGCAAGUACACAUGUUAGGAACAUUACUUAAUCACUCUGUAUUCUUAGAAAAUUCUCAAGUCGCCUUUUCCUUUUUUUUUUUUUUUUUUCACCUGAGGACUGCAGGCCCCUCUGCACAUAUAGGGGAUGUACCAAUCAAAUCUCAAAAUAAAGCUAAAUCAGAAAAUUAAGAGAUUUCCUCAUUUAGCUCAUGUUUGAGAAGAGCUGAAAAGCUUUAUAAAGUCAUUGGACUUUAUGACUAAUGGUAGAUGUUAUAGCAGGAUGAUACUGUUUAGAUUAAUGUAAAUUUUCUCCCCGGGAAUUUUUUUUGAUAGGGGGGUGGAGGGGGGGUGUUUCCCACUUCACAGAUACCCAGUGAAAUAAGAUGACUCAGUUCGUGUACUGAGCAACGCAAAAAUAAAAGUCGAAUUUAGAGUCCAUCAAAAUAUAUAACUGAUUUGUCAGCCGACUCUGCUAGCUGCAAGGGUUCCUGUUUUGCUAGAUGACAGUGCACUUCUAACAUCAAAACACUGAAGGUUUUCUGAAGUGCUGAGACACUGCCUCCUGACCAGGUCUCCAUCACCUAGGGGAAUCUUGCUCUAGCUGUUGAAGUGGAGGUGCUCCCAGACAGACAGACGGACGGACGGCAUCUCCUGCUGUUUUCCUCAGCUUCCUUCUGACUCAGCUUCCGGUCUUCACCACUCACUCUUCCUGUUGUUUUCUGUGUGUCAAUUUCCAUCAUUGCAUUCGUCUUCCCAUCAGUUUCACAAUGGCCCCAUCUCGUAAGAUAUUGCAAGCCCCAUUGGGGGAGGGGCGGUGAGGAAGAAUUUCAGUUAUCACCCUAAUAAUAACAACAGCUAAUGCACCCACCCUCUCUUGGAAUUGAGCUUUUCGCAAUCCCACCAGGUGAAUACUGGCAUAUUUGACAACAGGUUUAUUCACUCGUGUAUGUGAUUUUUUUUUUUAAAUUUUCGAAGACUGAAUGAGUGCUCUAUCAAUGGUUGGAAUCCAGAGAAAGCCCUAGAACAAACAACAAACUAUAGUGUGUGCGUGUCUAACAUCUGAAGUAGAGCUUAGAUGGUUGAAACUUCCCCUGAAGUGCAGCCAUGGUGUGAUGGCUUUUAUUAGAGACUCUUCUGUCAUCACCACACGAGCUCUGUCCUGUGCAUGUGAUUGUAUUUGGUGUGUACAGUGAAUGUACAGACCCACACAACAUGAUCUUUCCCUUUAAAAUCUUGGAAUAGUUCUUAGUCUUAGGCAUUAAGAAUGACUUCAGUCGAGUGGCCUUCACAUUUUUAGUGUGCUGUGACUGACAGUCAGGAAUAAAUUAAUUUGUACACCUGAGUACAUACACCUACAAUUAUACAGUAAUUGCCAGAUAUAAUUGUAAAAAAGACUUUUUACAAAUGAAAGGAUGCUUUAGCUGUGAAUGGGAGGACAGAAGUUGGAAGCGACCCAGGUAGUGAGUUAAAAUAGGUUUUCCUCAGCUUCAGAGCCCGGGUCUAUGUCAGUCCUAUUUACAAGAUGUACAAAGGCCAUUUCUCAAAUAUGGCCAGCCCUACCUCCCCCGGAAGGAAAAGCUAAGAUGUUAAAUUGAGGAACUAGCAAAGCCACGGCUCUGUGGUUGCAGCAUUGAUUCUUAGUUUAGCACAAGCUAAAUGGACCCCUACCUACCCUUCUCUUCACACACACACACACACACACACACACACACACACACACACACACACACGCACACACACACAUACACACACACAUUAGUAACUGAACUCAAGUGGACAUCAGAGGUUACAUCCUCCACAGUGGAAGGCUGGGGCACCAGAUCUGGUACCAGGCUAGUUACAUACAUGAAUUGUAGUCUCCCAGAUAAUUUGCUCUCAUUUUUAUUCUGCUUAUACUUUACAGAGGGAACUUGCCUGAUGAGAUAAUUACCUCGUAUUUAAUAACCUGCUUUCUGGUUCCUUAUUCUUAUAAAUUCAUUAAGAUUUAUCCAAGGCAUAUCUCUGAAUCAAUGAGGUAGAGAACUACCUAAAAUUAUUUGUGCAAUAUCUGCUUAUUGCCCUAAGUGCCAUUGCUCAGGCAGAAUUUUGAUUAGCAUAAGUUCAUUGUCCUCUUUAUUGCAAGUGAGCAUUCUACAACGUGGGUCCUUUUAGCUCCUAGACAGCACAAGCUCACAGCAGCUGAAGUGCCUGACUGAAGUAUCUGAAUCUCAAAUGCUCUGAAAGUCAAAACUUUUGAAUGCUGAUAUAGUUCUCAGGAACUUUCAGACUCUGGAAUGUUUCAGAUUUCAGGUUGUUUUUGGAUAGAUGUCUUGCAAAUAUCUGCAGAAGUCUGAAGCACUCCUGGUCCCAAGUGUUUUGGUUGAGGAGUGUGGAAUCGGUAUUUCUAUCACUUCUAUUUGUGUUGUGACUGAAUAACCGACAAGAGGCACUUUAGGGUGGAGCAGUCUGUUUUGAGUCACCCUUUAGAGGUUACUAUCUCUCUGGGCAGGGAAGGAUUGGUUACUGAAACUGUUGUAAUAGCGGUUCUGGGAACGUGAAGAUUGACUUGUUCACAUCUAGAUCUAGGUAGGCUGGACCAGGGCCAAAAGCAGGUACCACCUUCAGCUAGCCAGGUCAGUGACCCAAAGCUUGCACAUUAUCAGGAGUCCAGCUGCUCACACUCAAACAUCUCAGACUCAAAUCCUAACAGUCGCCUUUGCCCAAGGAAGGACAAGGGUGAUAGAAAUUGCUUAUGGAGAGCUUGAGGUCGCAGGUACUGAGAAAAAGUACCUGGGGGAAAAGGCAGGGGUGCGGCUCUCCAGUGCUGAGCAGCCUUCAUCAUCUUAAAGCUAUGAAUCG